rnacentral:rRNA from 1 species
AUUGAACGCUGGCGGCAGGCCUAACACAUGCAAGUAGAGCGAGCGGCGGACGGGUGAGUAAUGUAUGGGGACUGCCCGAUAGAGGGGGAUAACUACUGGAAACGGUAGCUAAUACCGCAUACUAUCGGAUAACCCAUAUGGGAUUAGCGAGUAGGUGAGGUAAUGGCUCACCUAGGCGACGAUCCCUAGCGGACCUUAUAGAAUGAUCAGCCACACGAGGACGGAGACACCUCCCAGCCUCCUACGGAGGCAGCAGUGGGGAAUAUUGCACAAUGGGCGCAAUCCUGCUGCAUCCAUGCCGCGUGUAUACAGAAGGCCCUCGGGUUGUAAAGUACUUUCAGUCGGGAGGCGUUACCGACAGAAGAAGCACCGGCUAACUCCGUGCCAGCAGCCGCGGUAAUAC